UCUUUCUUUUCUUUCUUUUCUUUCUUUUCUUUCUUUUCUUUCAGUCAUAGUUGCCAGAGAGCUUUAAAGUCACAUUUAUUGCUGAAGUUUUGUGAUCUGCUUAAACCCGGUGGCAGAAACAUCUCCAUCUGCUUCCUUGAGAGGUUCCUGCAAGUUGUCUCCUCCCAACACUACUUACUGCAGGCUCUCUCCCGCAAGCCCUUAAGGAGUGAUAGACCCCAAGGCUUGGACAAAGGGUGACAUGCACUCAAAGAACGAGGAAGGUAUGUUCUCCUGGACCCAGCCAGUCUCAGGAAGAGAAUAGCACAGGUGCCACAGAAAGGGAGAUGCUAGCUGUGCAAUGAGAGGACACAGGAGAAGAGGAGGAAACCUGGAAAAGGCAGGAAUCUAGAAGGAGGGUCUUUCAUGCGUACGGCCACCAGAAAGCUCAGAUAACCAUGAACAAUUUUGGCACUUGUCUUAUUAGUUUGAUUAAUUUUUAAUCACCUAAUAUUUUUAGUUGGCAACGCAAGAACAUAGUGUAAGUGGCCAAAGAUCCCGGAGGUAUGCAGUGAGAAAUGAGUUGUUGUCCCCGCUACCAUUCCCCUCCCUUCACCCCAGGUAAGGGGAGGAGCUGCUGACACCAGCUCCUUGUGUGUAAAGGAAGAUUCUGAAAGAGGCUUACAAGGGAUCCUGGCCCAUCCUAGAGAUGGAGUUAGAAAGGCUCCUCUGUAGAAGUGAUGCCUGAGCUGAAAAGUGAAGAACAAACAGGGCUUCGCUAGUGAAAGAGGACGUUGCAUGUGCAGAGGCCCUGUGGUCGGUGUAGAAACAGCACUUUUGUUGAAAUGAUGAACAGCAGCGUGGCCCAGUUGCAGACAGUGAGGUAGUGGUGGGAGGAGAAGAGGCAGGAGUGGUGGGCAGAGCUGGGCAAAGCCUGGGUCAGGGUCUCCCAGGCCAUGUUAGAAUUGGAUCCCGACAGUUAAGAAAGCAUAUGUGACAGAUACAUUUUACAUUUUGAAAAAACAGUCACCGUAGCUCCAGGGCAGAGAAAAGCAAGGGACGAGCAAUGCCCUGGCCCAUGCCCACUCAGUCUCACCUUUGAGUCCAGCUGCAGCCAUGGGGGAAACUUCCACAUUUGCUUCACCCCACCUCACACUAACAGCCCCAGCCUCAAAUGCUUUCUUCCCCAGGGCUUCCAAUCACAUGAGCUCUGUUGGCCCAUGUAUAGGCACAAUCUGGAAGUGCAGGGGAGUUCAUGCUUCGGAGCAACCCUCAGCAAGGUGCAGGGACGGUGAAGGCUCAGAAGGUCCCAGGUCUGCAGCUCAUGGCAAGUCCCGGAUGGAGGAGACAUGGUCAAGUGCCACAGCCCCGUUUUAUAGCUGUGAAAAUGGCCAUCAUAUAGGGAGGUGGAAGUCAAAACUAAGGUCACAGGAGAUUAAGGUAUUUCCAGACUGUCCUAAAUUUAGGUGAAUUUAUAAUGGGGUCUUUGGCAGAUGUCCAGCAUUAAUUAAUGUCUCCUUUAGGCAAGACCACAUAGCCAGAACCAUUGCAGUGGAUAUGCAAGUGUCUGAGAUAAGAGGGGAGGAAAACGAGUAGUAAAGGCUGUUCUUCAUUGAGCCGUGCACACUUAUGCCCCAUGCCAGUCCUGUGAAGUAGAUAUUGUUACCCCUAUUUUACAGAGGAAGGAAUGGAGACGGAGAGAGGUACCAUAAUCUUCCCAGUAUCACUGAAGUCAUGCAAGAUAGAGCAGACACCUGCAGCUUGUCCUAAUGGCUUGAAAGGCCUGCAUUUACCACCUACUCCUGAAGGCUGCCUUUUAAAUAAAUACCCCUCUGCUCCUUAGAGGGAGAAGAGCCUGGGGAGAGUCCGUCCAUCUCUCUUCAUGCUGGAUUAUCAGUUCAUUGGGUUGCCAGUAGAUCCUGUCACUCAGUAGAUGAGAGACAAGAUGACAUUUGAUGGCUGUAGAGAACCGAGAGGACCACGGUGUGGCCUCGUCAUGCUGGGUGGGCCAAAGGCAGCACUAGGUGGCUCUCAUUUAUUCAUAUUUAACAAACAACUUACAUCAACUCAAGUAAUCCUCAUAGUAAUUCCACGAUGUAGGUUGCAGUAUUAUGCCCUUUUUAGAGAUGAGGAAACUGUGGCAAAAUAAAAUGGUUUAAUAAUUUGCCCAAGAAGACACAGUUAGUAAGUAGCAGAACUGGGGUUUUAACUCAGAAAUUCCAACACUGGUGUUCUCAAUCACUGUUCCACAUUGCUUCUCAUUCCUGCAUAUACGUUGCAGGGCUUGCUUUGUGUCAGGGGUCAAUCAGAUGCUGCAAGACUGGAGCUUGCAAAAAAUACAAAAAUGAAUUGAGAAUGCACUCGGCCCUCAAGUAGUUUAUUCUCCCAUACAUGCUAAGUAUUUCCACAAACGACCAUGAGAAAAUGUAGAAGGUGACAGGUACUUAAUGAAAGAUACUGAUGAAUACUAUGGGGUUCCAGAAGGGAGAGAGAUUCCAGCAUGGGGACUGGGGAGGAAUGGCACAUCAGUUUGUUUUUGCCACAUAACAGACCACUCCAAGAUUUAGUGGCUUAAAGCAACACCUACUUAUUACUUCUCACAGUUCUGCAAUGGGCUGGGCAGUUCUGCUCAGGUUUGGCUCAGUAGGGCUGGAAGAUCGAGCAUGGUCUCAUUCACACGUCUAGGAUGACUGGGAAAGAUGUGACCUCUCUGUAUACGGCCUCUUAUCCUCCAGAAGUCUGGUCUAGUUUCCUCUCAUGAAAGAAGAUUUCUAUCAGCAAGAGAGAGAGCAAGCCCUGAGCACACACUUCUGAGCUCCUGCCUGUGUCCCCUUUGCUAAUGUCCAUUGGCCAAAACAAGCCACAUGGUCAAGCCCAAGAUUCAAAGCAUAGAGAAACAGAGUCUACCUUUUGGCGGGAAGAGAUGCAAUGUCACAUGCAAAGAGACCUCAGAGGAAUGAGAAAGAUGUAUAGGUGUAGCGUGUUUUUUUUGUUGUUGUUGUUGUUGUUGUUUUUCCAGUAAGUCAGAAUCAGAGAAAGCUUUACAGAAAGGAAGGGGCUUGAAAGAUGGCUAGGGCUGGGACAUGUGACAGAUUUCCCAUACAUGGAGAGAAAAUCCGCAGAGGCAAGAUAGCCUAGGGGUUUGCAAGGAUCAGCGAAUGCUUCCUCUAGGCUAAUGGAAGGUUGGGAAAGUAAGUUGGAACACCGUUAUGGAGGAGAUGGAGUGUUGUCUUUAAGAACUUGGAUAGUCUCCAAUGGCCUUCUAAGAGAUUGACCUCCACUUGUAAGGGCACAGCCUUCCCAAAAGAACCUGCUCCACCUGCAGCUCUGCCUGUUUCCUCCUGUUCCUCCUGUUUCUGCAGUGCCACCACCAUUGACUCAACAGUCAAAGGACCUGUGGUAGCCAGUCUACAGGCUUCCAAAGACCUACUAUGGCCUGUCCUGAAAAGGUUUUGAAUGGCCUUGUCCCUGCAUCAGGUGAUGGAUGGAUUUGUCCCCCACAUCACGUGAUUGGUGAUUCCGUCCCCUGCAUCAGAAUUCAUAUUUUCUCAGCCUCAGCAGGAUCUGGCCCACUCAGCACUUGAUCAGGACUGUUCAUGGGAAACCCAGGUGCUUGCGAUGAGAGUGAAACUGACUGCUGCCAUAGUGACCUUCCACUCCUCCUGUCCAGACUGGAAUCAUUAACUCAGGCAGGCACGUGGUUAGCACGUCCCACUCCCAUUAGCCUGCUGGGGAUCAGCAUUAUUGGGAAUGACGUCGUCUGCCCCUCUGCAACUCCCCAAAGAGCUAACUUACUUGUUGGGGAACA